CUAUAUGGAUUGUUUGAGCGUAAAUAGACACGAUCUUCGUUCGGUACGGUCUCUCUAAGCCCUGAAACCGUAACUAUGGCUAUGUUCUGAGAUCCGUCUUUUCUGCUGUUCAAAGAUCUCUCCGAUUCCUUUUCUUUCGAAGUGGCAUUGCCCAAAGUCGAAUCAAAGGCUUGACAGGGUCUUCUUAGCCCAGGCUAACUAGAAUAGUUAGUAGCUUAUAGGAUCCCAAAGCAAUAACCACAGAUGGAGGAGCAUUCGUCUUCUUUUGAACCAGUUUUCCAAAACCAAGAUAUCCCGCCUAUCCCGAAAAACGGACUCCCUCAAAAAGUAGCUUCGUAGCAAGAGUGGUUUUGACUAAGCAUAUGACGAAGGCUCGGCCGAAGCUAGAGCUAAGUGGCUGUUUCAGGGUAAGUAUGGAAAGCAUAGGUCGACUUAUGAACAUUGAUUGGAUUGGUUAAUUUACUUAAAAAUCCGAAAGCCUAUAUACAUCAUUUGGAGGGAAAUGAACACUGAGAUGAUGAAAAAUAUAGACCGAUCGAAGACUGACGGCAGACCGAAGAGAGGGGCGUUGAAUGGCUUCAAUGAUUGGAUGAGAAUACAGGAGCACAAAAAGGCGUAUUGGUUAUCACAGACCGGAUAAAAUAGCAGCGCUAACUCUUUAGUAAGGUCUCUCAAUUCCUCUACUAUGCUCCCAACAGCUGAUUCAAGGGAUGUCCCUUCUUGAACAAGAACCAUGACACUUCUUAUUAU
rnacentral:lncRNA from 1 species